GUAGAUGUAGUAUAAAACUAAAACGCUAGAUUGUGAUUCUAGAAACAAGAGUUAAAUUCUCUUCAUCCACC
rnacentral:tRNA from 1 species